UCCACCCCUUUCACCCUUAAAUAUCAGUGUUACUGUUUGUCAGCUGUAACACACCCAGACCAACAGCACAGCUCAGUCUACACAAAAAUAUCUUAUCUGCAGGUUUGAGAAUUGUUAAAGCAUGAAGGUUUGUCAGUACUUUCUAAUACUUGCUGUAACUUGUUCAGGUAAAGUUUCAUGUGAUUCAAUUGAUCCAAGCAAUACGUAUUUGCUGGCUAAAGAAGGGGAGAAUGUUACAAUGUCCUGCUCCUUUAUGUCUAACUAUAAAGGGACUAUCUACCUUUACUGGUAUCGCAUGUCUGCUUAUGGAAGGCUUGAAUACAUUCUGCGAAAAGCAAACACAGGUUCCUAUGGUGAUAUUCCACCAUUUUCAUCCUUUGCAAAGGAUAAAUAUUGGUCUGAUUUCAAUUUAACCACCAUUACCCUGACCAUCACUAAACUGAAGCUGGAGGAUUCAACUACCUACCACUGUGCUGUAGAGAGAACACAAUGUCACAGCACUCGUGAGAGUAGCUACAUAAACCUUGCAGAAUAGAGGAAACAGCAGUUAAGCAUUGUUGCAGGAGCUAUAGCUCACAAACUUAUAAGUAAUACAGCAGAGCCUGGUUUUAUAUUUCCUAUGGGACAACCUCAAAGUGGGGUAAAUUCUGGGAAACCUUAAAAUCUGGAAAAAAAAAGUGCCACUUGCCUAUGGAGACAGUGUCAAAUUUGGGAGAACGUAAAACUUGGGGACAUAGAAUACUAUAAAGAAAUAGAAAGGGUAUCGUUGGUCUAUUUAUCAUUUUUAAGAUUGAACAUUUUAAAUAUUUUAUACAGAAAUAAAGUAACAAUAAUAACAAUAAUCAAGGCCAGAAACCUUUUUAUGCUUGGCAAAUAAAAUACAGUUAUUGCACAGUAAGACCAACUGUUAAAAUCCCAGUGCCAUUAGUUUCACGGUGCAAUGAACAUUAAAUGGGCAAACGCAAGUAAUGAACACCAAUGCAGAACUGAAAAUGUAAUAAUGUUACUACGAUUACAAUGAAACCACUGGAAAAGCAAUAAAUGGACCAAAUAAAAAAGCAAUAAAUGGACCAUGCCGGUUCACACUUGUCACACUGUGGAAUGAUACACUUCUUCGGGGAAAAACACUGAUCAUAGUUUUUUUUAAAAGUGAAGUAUGAGUGUGUAUACAUUUGCCAUAUUGUGCAUUUUUUGUUUGUGCCUGCAAAAAACUUGCCCAGGCUUUGCCCUAAAAAGUAUUGUAUUUUUUCAGAAAAGAUGGCAACCCUACCUUUAAUUACAUAUGCUAUAAACAACAGGGACAUGCUUAAAUUUUAUCUUAGGCCUUACCCAAAGCUAUUUUAAUGCUAACUUGGGCUAGGCAGACCAAACGGGUUUAAUAUCCAGCUAGUGAUUAGAGCAUGGGUUACAUUUGACUCUAACACUUCAGGCAGGGCUUUUCGCUGAGAAUACAGGUGUGGUGUAGUGUGACUACAACUCCCCCAGGCAAUAAAAAUAGAAAGAUUGGACACCAGGAGGUUCUUGCAGUG